rnacentral:rRNA from 1 species
CAAACCGACGAUGGAUAGGGGUUCUGAGAGGAAGGUCCCCCACAUUGGUACUGAGACACGGACCAAACUCCUACGGGAGGCAGCAGUGAGGAAUAUUGGUCAAUGGGCGUAAGCCUGAACCAGCCAAGUCGCGUGAGGGAUGAAGGUUCUAUGGAUCGUAAACCUCUUUUAUAAGGGAAUAAAGUGUGGGACGUGUCCUGUUUUGUAUGUACCUUAUGAAUAAGGAUCGGCUAACUCCGUGCCAGCAGCCGCGGUAAUACGGAGGAUCCGAGCGUUAUCCGGAUUUAUUGGGUUUAAAGGGUGCGUAGGCGGCCUUUUAAGUCAGCGGUGAAAGUCUGUGGCUCAACCAUAGAAUUGCCGUUGAAACUGGGAGGCUUGAGUAUGUUUGAGGCAGGCGGAAUGCGUGGUGUAGCGGUGAAAUGCUUAGAUAUCACGCAGAACCCCGAUUGCGAAGGCAGCCUGCCAAGCCAUGACUGACGCUGAUGCACGAAAGCGUGGGGAUCAAACAGGAUUAGAUACCCUGGUAGUCCACGCAGUAAACGAUGAUCACUAGCUGUUUGCGAUACAGUGUAAGCGGC